GACGAACGCUGGCGGCGUGCUUAACACAUGCAAGUCGAACGGAAAGGCCUUCUUUCCUUUGUGGUUUGCGGGUACUCGAGUGGCGAACGGGUGAGUAACACGUGAGUGAUCUUCCCCCAACUUGGGUAUAAGCCUGGGAAACUGUGUUUACUUCUCGAUAGUACUGGUGGGUGGAGCCUGUGUUGGGACACGACUUUCUUGUGGGUGCGGAUGAGCUCGCGGCUUGUCAGCUUGGUGGUGGGGUAAUGGCCUACCAAGGCGGCGAAGGGUAGCCAGCCUGAGAGGGGGGACGGUCACAUUGGGACUGAGAUAAGGCCCAGACUCCAACGGGAGGUAGGAGUGGGGAAUAUUGCACAAUGAGCGGAAGCCUGAUGCAGCGACGCCGCGUGGGAGAUGACGGCCUUCGAGUUGUAAUCUCCUUGCGACGGAGAGGAAGCCACCUGGUUGGAAGGGUGGUGACGGUAGUGGUAGAAGAAGCACCGGCUAACUACGUG
rnacentral:rRNA from 1 species